rnacentral:rRNA from 1 species
UACGUAGGGUGCAAGCGUUGCCCGGAAUUAUUGGGCGUAAAGAGCUCGUAGGCGGUUUGUCGCGUCUGCUGUGAAAACCCGAGGCUCAACCUCGGGCCUGCAGUGGGUACGGGGCAGACUAGAGUGCGGUAGGGGAGACUGGAAUUCCUGGUGUAGCGGUGAAAUGCGCAGAUAUCAGGAGGAACACCGAUGGCGAAGGCAGGUCUCUGGGCCACUACUGACGCUGG